AGGAGGGCUGAGAACCCUCCAAAGGGUACUCGGUAAUUGAUUAACUUCCCUAUAAAAAGGUCACAUUCCACAGUGCCUCCUGGUGGACAGAUGGUGAACUAGGCCGUAUGGAGUGCAGAAUAGGCCUCAGGUUAUUGGAGUCAAUGGAUCCUAAUCCUGGUGGGCUGGAGUCUCUCUGAGACUCUGAGAGCUUCGUCAGGCUCUGUUGAGAGGUUCCCUCGCUGGCGUGAGGCUCUGUUGAGAUGUUCCCCGCUGGCGUGAGGCUCUGUUGAGAGGUUCCCUCGCUGGCGUGAGGCUCUGUUGAGAUGUUCCCCGCUGGCGUUACGCCUGAUUUCCACCGGGGAUGUAAGCGUCCCAGGAGCGGCUCGCUGCGCCGCAGUGCUAUCAUUCCGUAGCACUUCUAUUUUUGACGCGAGCCGUUGCUAAACCGGGUCAAUUUCAACAGAGCAGAUCGAGCCGGGAAGGAAGUGAAAAAGUAAAAACCAUAGAGCAUCCGGUCAAUUUUCAAAAUAAAACACAAAUCUCAGCUCAUGUAGCCUAUCACAACUUCACAUCAUCACUACGUCAUGACCGGUGGCACCACAGCAGUCAAUCAAUCAGAGGGUCUCAGAGGGUCGGCAACAUGGACGACGGGAGACUGAUUGUUGAAGUGAAGCAACAUAAAAUAAUUCAUGAAAUAAAUCAUCCUUUUUAUAAGGACAAUGUCAGAAAGGACAAAGCCUGGCAUUUAAUUGCAGUCGUUUUGGGAGUGGAAGGUGAGUACAUUAGGUUUAGGAUUAUCGCUAUCGUUAUCCACGCUGCCGUUACGCGCCCGGUGAAAAUGGACGCAGGGCAGAGUGCGCAGCCGUUCCGCGGCGCGUACUUCCCCGCUGGAAAUCAGGCGUGGGGCUCUGUUUAGAGGACCCCCCGCUCUCUGAGGCUCUGUUUAGAGGUCCCCCCACUCUCUGAGAGCUCUCUGAAGCUCUGUUUAGAGGACCCCCCGCUCUCUGAGGCUCUGUUUAGAGGUCCUCCCGCUCUCUGAGGCUCUGUUUAGAGGUCCCCCCGCUCUCUGAGAGCUCUCUGAAGCUCUGUUUAGAGGUUCCCCCUGCUCUCUGAAGCUCUGUUUAGAGGUUCCCCCUGCUCUCUGAAGCUCUGUUUAGAGGUCCCCCCGCUCUCUGAGAGCUCUCUGAAGCUCUGUUUAGAGGUUCCCCCACUCUCUGAGAGCUCUCUGAGGCUCUGUUUAGAGGUCCCCCCGCUCUCUGAGAGCUCUCUGAAGCUCUGUUUAGAGGUUCCCCCACUCUCUGAGAGCUCUCUGAGGCUCUGUUUAGAGGUCCCCCCGCUCUCUGAGAGCUCUCUGAAGCUCUGUUUAGAGGUCCUCCCGCUCUCUGAGAGCUCUCUGAAGCUCUGUUUAGAGGUUCCCCCUGCUCUCUGAGGCUCUGUUUAGAGGUCCUCCCGCUCUCUGAGGCUCUGUUUAGAGGUCCCCCCGCUCUCUGAGAGCUCUCUGAAGCUCUGUUUAGAGGUCCCCCCGCUCUCUGAGAGCUCUCUGAAGCUCUGUUUAGAGGUUCCCCCUGCUGGUUCCUUAGAUGAUGUACGCAGGACGCCCUGACCCAAGGCUGCUCAAUAAUGAAUGAUGACAAGUCCUGCUGGCAGCAGGCCCAAACAGAGCAGCCUGCUCCCAGUCAGCACACUCUGGAGUCUGGAACACGGACUGAACCAUUAGAGGACCGGGGAACUGAACCAUUAGAGGACAGGGGGACUGAACCAUUAGAGGACCGGGGGACUGAACCAUUGGAGGACAGGGGGACUGAACCAUUAGAGGACCGGGGAACUGAACCAUUAGAGGACAGGGGGACUGAACCAUUAGAGGACCGGGGGACUGAACCAUUAGAGGACCGGGGGACUGAACCGUUAGAGGACAGGCGGACUGAACCGUUAGAGGACAGGGGGACUGAACCGUUAGAGGACAGGGGGACUGAACCGUUAGAGGACAGGGGGACUGAACCGUUAGAGGACAGGGGGACUGAACCGUUAGAGGACAGGGGGACUGAACCGUUAGAGGACAGGGGGACUGAACCGUUAGAGGACAGGGGGACUGAACCAUUAGAGGACAGGGGGACUGAACCAUUAGAGGACAGGGGGACUGAACCAUUAGAGGACAGGGGGACUUAACCAUUAGAGGACAGUGGGACU